rnacentral:lncRNA from 1 species
GAAAAUGAAAUUCUGCAGCAAACAGCAUCAUCGAGGAAAGAAAGUUUAUGAUCUCUGAAACCUCUGCCGAAACUCCAUGAGGCUCCACAGUAUAAAUCACACCAUGAUUAUCUUCUGGAAGAAAUGCAGUGGAUGGCAACAGAUUUUUUUUCCAAGAAAGAAAAUGAAAGAUGAUAGCUGUUGAAAGAGUAAUGUGAAUUUGAUCUUUUCAACCAGAAAAUAAUAGGCAGCAUUUUCAUGGUUAGGAUGUGAUCAUUGAGGAUCUGUGAGUUUGGGGUUGCCUCUUCACUGUUUGUAAACUUUAAACAGUACUAAAGGGAUUGUAAUUAUUUUUCUUUCUUUAGGAAUGUGUUUUUUAGAUAAAAUCAAGUAAAAACUUAAAAUAACUUUAUGGUUUUAUUUUAGGGUUAAUGUGUCAAGGUGGGAAUAGAUGAGUCUGGAAUGCCAGUUCUACAAAGACAAAUUAUUUAAUUGUGAGCAAUGAAUUAACUGCAGAGCUUGUCAUUUGAGGGUGCUGCCCUGUCUGUGACUCCUGGUAACAUGAGCAUAAUGCUCUAUUUCCAUGCUGUGGGCUCUUGGAACCUUUUAAAGUAACAGCAGCUGCUCUCUGCAGUGUCACAUGACACGUGGCUCUUCCAGUUCCUCUUUAAUUCUGCCAUCAGCUGGGAGCUUUUUCAUCAUUCUCAGACACUGUGCUAUUAUUGCGAUUUUUAUUUUAACUGCAGUGGAAUAGUAGUAAAAUAUUUCUUUACUUUGUGUGGGUUUUUUUUUCUUUUGCUAUUACUUAAGGACACAGACUGGUCUCUCUCUGAUGUGAUUGGGAUGGAAAACCAAAUUACUUGCUACAAAGCACAAAUGCUGCCAAAACUGAAGGUAAUUGAAAACCUUAUUGAAGAGUUCUCCUACUCCCCUUCAUCACCCAGACUUGAGCCAGAGAAGGUCAAACCAAACAGAACCCCUGUGUAUGGCAGAGACCUGUUGGAAACUUGCUCUUGGAUCAAUGAAAGAAAAAUCUCUCAGCAUUGUUCUGCCAGGAUUAACAAGUGGUGCUGGGCUGGCUUUGCAAAUUGCCUCCCAUACUCCAGCACUUCAGAGGCUCUGAGGAUCCAUUGCAGGAACUCAUUCUGA